rnacentral:rRNA from 1 species
AUUGAACGCUGGCGGCAUGCCUUACACAUGCAAGUCGAACGGCAGCGCGGGGGCAACCUGGCGGCGAGUGGCGAACGGGUGAGUAAAAUAUCGGAACAUACCCUAGAGUGGGGGAUAACGUAGCGAAAGUUACGCUAAUACCGCAUACGCACUAAGGUGGAAAGUGGGGGAUCUUCGGACCUCAUGCUCAUGGAGUGGCCGAUAUCUGAUUAGCUAGUUGGUGAGGUAAAGGCUCACCAAGGCGACGAUCAGUAGCUGGUUUGAGAGAACGACCAGCCACACUGGAACUGAGACACGGUCCAGACUCCUACGGGAGCAGCAGUGGGGAAUUUUGGGACAAUGGGGGCAACCCUGAUCCAGCAAUGCCGCGUGAGUGAAGAAGGCCU